CCUACGGGAUGCAGCAGUAGGGAAUCUUCGGCAAUGGACGAAAGUCUGACCGAGCAACGCCGCGUGAGUGAAGAAGGUUUUCGGAUCGUAAAACUCUGUUGUUAGAGAAGAACAAGUAGGAGAGUAACUGCUCUUACCUUGACGGUAUCUAACCAGAAAGCCACGGCUAACUACGUGCCAGCAGCCGCGGUAAUACGUAGGUGGCAAGCGUUGUCCGGAUUUAUUGGGCGUAAAGCGAGCGCAGGCGGUCUUUUAAGUCUGAUGUGAAAGCCCUCGGCUCAACCGAGGAAGGUCAUUGGAAACUGGAGGACUUGAGUGCAGAAGAGGAGAGUGGAAUUCCAUGUGUAGCGGUGAAAUGCGUAGAGAUCUGGAGGAAUACCGGUGGCGAAGGCGGCCCCCUGGACAAAGACUGACGCUCAGGUGCGAAAGCGUGGGGAGCAAACAGGAUUAGAUACCCCUGUAGUC
rnacentral:rRNA from 1 species